GGGGCGGGCUCGGGAGCGUCCCGUCGCUAGGCAGCCGCCCGGUGACCCAAGCGGUAGGAUUGGUGGUGGGGCUGGCGUUGGGGGCUGUCACAAGAUCAUUAUUGAACAGUAUCCAAGAAAGAUGACAGCAGAACUGAUCAACAAGUCUGGAACCCCUAAUUUGGCAACGGUUGCAGAGGUUGAUGAGACUGUUAUUUAGAAAAGAAAGAAAGGAGAAGGUUGUCGACAUUUUGGCAGAUGGUAAAGCUGUGGAAACAAACCAGGAACCAUCAAGGGACAAACCUGACAGGGAAGACGACUCAGUACAUGAAUGAGAAUGAGCUGAAUGAAUCACUAACAGGACAUCUCAUGAGGGAGCUUCAAAUGAGAACACUGCAAGCAAAGAUCCCAUAAAGCUUUCUGAAAUGUCUGGUAGAACACAGCAAACCUAGGAAUGAAUAAGACAUGAAAACCAAAGACAUAGUAGUUUCACAUGACAAGUAUGAAUCCAGUGAAGAACUGAAAUUAAUAUAAAGACAAAAAAUAAGGUAUAUGAAUUGACUAAAUUAUCUUCCUCUUGUGUACAGUACUCUGGAAAUUAGUAGGAAAGAGUCUUCCUUUCUGUUCAUGAUGGUCCACAGAUACUAAGGCCCUGAUCCUGAAAUGUAAUAUGUGUGUGCAGACUGGUGUCUGUAUUUGCAUGGGAAAGUAAAAUAAAGCAGUGCACGAUAAAAGA